UUCAGUACCGCCUUUUAUCAUUCGAGGAAGGCCUUUCCCUUCUUCUUCUCCCUCUGCCUUGUCAAAGCCUUUGGGCCGAAGAAGGCCCUCAUCUUCCUUCCUACUUCUUUCAUCACGUCAGCAGUCUAAACCGUGAAGCUGCCGAAGACCCUUAAAGCAUGUAGUGGCAUACCGGUGGAGCUUCCGGUGGCGGUUCAGAGUCAGGAGAAAGCAUCUUGGAGUUGCUCCCAGCAAUGCUGCUUCUCACGACGUCAUAAACCCUGUAGGGCAGUCAAAUGCUGGUGGUUGAUGCUAGAUUUUGAUUGUCUUUUAAGGCCUCUUUUUUGAGGACAGGGUGGUCAUAUAGAGCAGGAAGGUUGCCAAGAAGAACAGAAUGAGAUCAUGAACUGUUGGAACACACACAUCAAAAGAAAGCUGUUGAGCCUGAGACAAGAUUCACAGACCACUGGAUGAACCGUGCUCUGGCUGUCUGAAGUCGUAACCCUUCCGGCUGCAGUUUCUGUUCCCUGCACGAUUUGCAGGAGCAUGGAGGAUGCCAACAUCCAGAAGAAGGCAGAUUCUGCAGAAGAGUCGGGCAGCGGGGUCAGUUUGGAGGAGGAAGCCCACUCCAAGCAACCUUUUGAUAUGGGAGAGCCAGAUUGAUAUGGUGGAAGUCGGUGAACUCUAAACUCAAGCAUGUAUUUCGAUGACUAGGUAGCUCCAAAAAGCCCACCAGCUACUGUUAUGCAUCAUCUUCCAUGUUAGGCAACUGAGAAGCAGUCUUAUUUGGAAAAAUGAAAAGGAAACGAUGAGAUCAUUUUUCGGGUAGAAUGGUGUAUUUAUGUACCAUUAAUUUGGCCAAUGAUCUGGCAGCUGGGAACCAACAGUCUGAAAUUCACCAAACCGGGGUUUAUAUUAUGGAUGAGAAACUGUAAGCACGCUGCAAGGAUUUGGUUUUCUUGUUGCUGGAGCACGGCAGGUAGCUGAAGAAGGAAGUUUGAAACAAACCUUGACAAUUACAAGUGAUAAAACCAAUCUUAAUUCUUAUUCCAACAGUGGAGUGGACAGCAGUGCAGUGUGCUUCAAUAUUCAACCAUCAACACCAUGUAAAACUUUCAAGACGGAGGGAACAAAAGGUUGCACUUGCGAAAAGCCA